CAGUAGCCGCGGUAAUACGUAGGUGGCAAGCGUUGUCCGGAAUUAUUGGGCGUAAAGGGCUCGCAGGCGGUUUCUUAAGUCUGAUGUGGAAGCCCCCGGCUCAACCGGGGAGGGUCAUUGGAAACUGGGAAACUUGAGUGCAGAAGAGGAGAGUGGAAUUCCACGUGUAGCGGUGAAAUGCGUAGAGAUGUGGAGGAACACCAGUGGCGAAGGCGACUCUCUGGUCUGUAACUGACGCUGAGGAGCGAAAGCGUGGGGAGCGAACAGGAUUAGAUACCCCUGUAGUCCCUGUCUCUUAUAC
rnacentral:rRNA from 1 species